ACAACUUUAAUAUUUAUUUUAAUUCCCUAAAUAAGUUAGAAAAAGAGAGAAAAAAAACUGUUAAAUCCGUGCUUUCUAGGUGCAAGAGAGCACGAGUGCACGUCCAGGUGCUCCCUGCAUGUGGGUGGGUCCUGUGUGUGUGUGCGCGCGCCAGAGAGAGUGUGUGAGCAGAGGUUCACAUGUGGACUGCUUCGACUCGUCUGAGGAUGCUUGCCGGCUCUCUGCUCGCGUGCUCUCGCUGCUCCGAUCGUGCAUCUGCUUUGCUAAAGUGGGAUAAAAAAUACAUAUAUAUAUAUAUAUAUAUAUAUAUUUAAAAAAAAAUUUUUUUGCUCGCUCGCACAUGUGGACUGGUUUUCGAGACAGGGGCACGGAGACAGAAGCGGGGCUGGAGGGACGCUGCUAAGAGAGGUGCAAUCGCCGCGAAGAUGUUUUUCUUAGACGCUCCAACAGACAGGAAUCCACUGGCAAGAAGAAAGCCUCGGUCUUCCCCACGAGAGCAAGAGUACAAAGCCCCCCAGUCUGCACACAGCAGAUGCGGGGAAAGCUAGUCCAUCUGCCACCAGCUUGCCGAGCCACAUGGACCUGAGAGCUUUAAUGCAAGCGGAGUGAGGUGUUUAUUCCCUCCAUGACUCCUCUUCUGGGGGUUUCUGCUACCAAGGUCAGGGGAUACAAGCAAGCCCACCAGCGCACUGAUGAGGUGGCAGCAGAAAACCGGGGGAGAGAGACAGACAUGUGGAUUGGUUACAGUGAGGAGGGUGGGGGUGGCAGCUGGUUACCAACCUUGGCAAGAGCAGCAGGAGCGUCAUGACAACGACAGCGCAGGAUGUUGACUUCCAUUUCAUCUCAACGCAGCGAUUUCAGCAGUUUGCACACAACCACUGUGACUUUUUAAACCAUUCAUUUUCAAUUAAGGUUGCGACAAAGUGAAUUGCUUUGGGGUAAUUAGGUACAGACAGGCAGAGUUGGUUUACCCGUCACUUCAUCACACAAGAUGGUGAGAAGAAUAGCUUGAGAGUUGCAGCAAUUGCUUGACAUUAAACUGAUUAAUCUCCGGGUACUGCGAGCAUCAGGGACAUUUCAAGUUGCACCUAGAAACUGGACAAUGAUUGAGGUCGACAUUUUUUCAACUUAAUUAGUACUUCUUUAGAAGCACAAAUAAAAAAUUCCAGCACUGAAUGAAGCAUACAACACUAGUAGGUUGUGAAGUCAAACACUCUUCAGUGUGGACACUGUUACAGAGUGAAGACUCAAAUUUCGCCAUUUUCGGUCAGAGUGAGGUCUUUGAAGAUGAAAUCAGAUGAAAGAUUAAAGCUGUUGGAAAAUAUUUAAAAGGAAAAUAUUUCCCAGAUUUGCCCGCUAUUCAUUCAGACUGUAACAUAAGAAUUGCUUUAUUUAUCUAUUUUACAAAUUUAAGAGUUCAAUUAAGAGUCUAUUUUCUUUAGGAGUAAAGGAUAAACCUGACAGUUAACAGCACCUUGCACAUUAAGUCUUGUUGUACGGCGCUAUAACAAUUAGUUCUCUUUGUGAUGUCACCUCUGCUUCUUGAAUAAAUAAUUAAUUAGAAUCCACAACAGGAAGGGUAGAAAAUUACACAUUGAAUUCUGCCAAUAGUAGUUCUUAAAAAGAACUAGGAAUGAGUAAAAUCACUAUCAGCUUAAAAAUCAGCCUCACAAAGCUUUAGCUUCCUGAAAAUGUUUAAAUUGGACACAACAUUCACAGCAUCUCUAGUAGCAUUUAGUUUUCAUUUGUUGUUAUUCUUUUGACUUCCCUCAUCUCACAUUAAAUCUAAUGCUAUUGUCACUUCGCAAGAAGGAAAAUCCAAUGUUUCAAAAAAUAAAGAAACCCACAAACAUGAAAUAAAGUACACCCCUAUUCAUUCUUUGUCAAUCAAAUGUUUCACAAGCACAAGUCGUGAUCGGUAAAGUCCAGCCCCCAAAUACUACUACUACAACCAAUAAUAAUAAUAAUAAUGAGGCAAAUAAGGCCUAAUGGCUCAGAAGGGCUCUUUUAAAGUCCUGGGCAAUGUUGAUCACACAAUAUGUUGCUUAUGGCCACAAAGCAGAGGCCAUUACAGACCGGUGAUUAUAUAAGUGGUUGGAAGGCAGCACCAUUUUAAUAUACUGUACUUAAGCACCAGGGUAUCCAUGGCAACUUGCACUUUCACCGUGCAUUCAGAAAUCCCUAAUGAAAUGUCUAUUAAGGGGAUGAUAAUGACAGUGUCCAAAUAUAUUUGCAUAUGUGUUUCAGUGGGAAAAGAGAGCGCAUAAUGAAGGUGGAUGGGUCCCUGAUCACUGCAAUGAUAAUUUUGUGUAUUUUGGGGGGGUCUUUUCAGGGGGUGCGGGGGAUAUUUUCACUGUCUAAGUAAUAAAAACCUUGGUCAUCUCUUCUAAUGCUUGUAGAAUUGAUUGUUGUGGGUGAGAGUGUGAACUGAGGUUU